GCAGUCGAGCGGUAAGGCCCUUCGGGGUACACGAGCGGCGAACGGGUGAGUAACACGUGAGCAACCUGCCCCUGACUCCGGGAUAAGCGGUGGAAACGCCGUCUAAUACCGGAUACGACCCUUGGCCUCCUGGCCGGGGGUGGAAAGUUUUUCGGUUGGGGAUGGGCUCGCGGCCUAUCAGCUUGUUGGUGGGGUAACGGCCUACCAAGGCGAUUACGGGUAGCCGGCCUGAGAGGGCGACCGGCCACACUGGGACUGAGACACGGCCCAGACUCCUGCGGGAGGCAGCAGUGGGGAAUAUUGCGCAAUGGGCGAAAGCCUGACGCAGCGACGCCGCGUGGGGGAUGACGGCCUUCGGGUUGUAAACCUCUUUUACCACCAACGCAGGCUCGGAGUUUUCUUCGGGUUGACGGUAGGUGGGGAAUAAGGACCGGCUAACUACGUGCCAGCAGCCGCGGUAAUACGUAGGGUCCGAGCGUUGUCCGGAAUUAUUGGGCGUAAAGAGCUCGUAGGCGGCGUGUCGCGUCUGCUGUGAAAGACCGGGGCUUAACUCCGGUUUGGCAGUGGAUACGGGCAUGCUAGAGGUAGGUAGGGGAGACUGGAAUUCCUGGUGUAGCGGUGAAAUGCGCAGAUAUCAGGAGGAACACCGGUGGCGAAGGCGGGUCUCUGGGCCUUACCU
rnacentral:rRNA from 1 species